rnacentral:lncRNA from 1 species
AGCAUCACUGAAAAAGGGGAUUGAUUUGUUUUAUUUCCAUCUUCAGCAGAGCCACAAAGUCAGUAGCAGGAUGGAAGAUUCACUCCUUUAGAACAAAGCCACCAUGAAUGGAGUCUUUCGGGACCCGAGACUGGAGCUAUGGAUAGUCCAUUGAUGGGGAGCUAGAAAGGCAGAGCACGUCACAGCUGGAAGGCCCUGGCCAAGGAAAAGAGCCG